UACCUGGUUGGUCCUGCCAGUAGUCAUACGCUCGUCUCUAAGACUAAGCCAUGCAAGUCUAAGUAUAAAUCCUUUACUUUGAAACUGCGAAUGGCUCAUUAUAUCAGUUAUAGUUUAUUUGAUAGUCCCUCACUACUUGGAUAACCGUAGUAAUUCUAGAGCUAAUACAUGCGUCAAUACCCCUCUGGGGUAGUAUUUAUUAGAUGGAAACCAACCCCUUCGGGGUGAUGUGGUGAAUCAUAAUAAGUUUGCGGAUCGCCGGUGGCGAUGGAUCAUUCAAGUUUCUGCCCUAUCAGCUUUGGACGGUAAGGUAUUGGCUUACCGUGGCUUUAACGGGUAACGGGGAAUUAGGGUUCGAUUCCGGAGAGGGAGCCUGAGAAUAG
rnacentral:rRNA from 1 species